CUCCGAUGCCCCAGCAGCUGGAGAGAAGGCAUGAAAAUGCCCCUCGCGCUAUCCCGCCUAGAAGUAGGCCACAGUGGAGGGAGGAAGAGGCUAGGAACCGGCCCAGACCCUCUCACCAACAACCAAGGUACGAGGCAAAUGACUAUGAUUCUGAUGAGCAGCAGAGGUCCUGUGCCUUGGACGAUGAUCAUGAGAACCUGCCAUUCUUAAGAAAAUUAAGAAAUGCCCAGGUCCCGAGCCACUAUGUCAUGCCAAAAAUACCAAAGUAUGAUGGAAGAGGUGACUCAGAAAAGUACCUCAAUGCUUACAAAACUCACAUGAGUCUGAGGGGCGCCACCCCAGCCGUGAAGUGCAGAGCAUUCCAUUUAACCCUCAGUGGAGCGGCUGAAAUCUGGUAUAGUAGGCUACCACCUGGGAGCAUCCGAAGCUGGCCCGAGUUCAAGACUACCUUCUUGAAGAGGUUCGCAGUGAGCGAGGAAGGAGAGGCCCCCAUCAAGCGUCUCCAAGACAUGAGACAAACACAUGGCGAGUCCCUAAAAAGCUUCCUAUCCCGCUUCACCGACGAGAUGACCUACUGCGUACAAGUCACCGACAAAGAAGCACUAUCUGCAUUGAGAGGAG
rnacentral:lncRNA from 1 species